GGGGGGACAGAGAGAUCAGGUGAGAGGUUUUUUAUGUUUGGCGGAAAGGGAGGAGCAAGGCGGGAUCAGAGAAAGGGCGCAGAGAUCUGACCGUCGAUCUGGAUAGGUUCCUGAUGUGGGUCGUCGGAUCGAAGCUUUGACCAAGAGACGCCCGGUGCGACACUCUGGUUCAACGCAUGUGCCUCGUGGCUAAUUUAUUGUGCUGUAUUCCGCGACAUCCCCUAAUCCUUGUGCGCCCCGGCGAGACUAAAUUGUUUCUACUUGAAAAUGUUGGCGGCAUCAAUUGAAAUCGAGUCGAUUCCGACCGGCCCGGACCGGACCGGACCGGACCGGACGACCAGAUGUUCCUGAGAGAUGGGAGGAACGGUGGGGCAGUCCAUCAAUCGAGUACGGAGGCAGGAUUUGAGUAGGAUUGGGCUCACUUCCAAGCCAAGACAGGUUU